GGGCUCCGAAAGGAGAGCGUGGUGUCUGGAGGUGAUCGGAAGGGACUGGCUGGAGUGUGGCGGGCUGACAGGUCUGAGGCCUGAAGGACUUCCGGGAACCGCAAAGCACGGUGUGCCUCCGCUGUCCUGAAGAAAAAGCCGCGCGCGGACGACUGGCCGGCCCGCGCUUGCAGCUCCCAGAAGUUGACAGGCAUCCUCCGGUGACCGGUGUGAGUAUGGCAUCAGGAUGAUUUGACUGCAAGCAACAGAAAAAUCAAACAAAAAUGGCCUAAGCCAAGAAGAGAAAUGAUUAUUUCACAUUCCAAGAAGUUUGGGAGUCGAGUGGUUAAACGGCUAAUUAAUCUAGAGCUCAACAGUAUCACCCAGGACCCAUUUUCACUAUGGUGGCUAAAGCUCUGCACCCUUCAGGCUUGCACCAUGGCAGCAGCAGUGACAGUAAAGACACCCUUACACCACAAUGCUCCAUGACCAGGGAGAGGGUCUCCUCUCUCCUGCCCCUUUCUGGAGGCUCCACCGAAGAUUUCUCUUCACAUUCCGUUUCUCAUUCCUGAAGCAGUUGCUGGCAACAGGGAUGGACUUACCGCAAUGGGUACAGAGCAACUAAGAUUCACCACUAGGUGAGUCCUUUGGAAAACACUUGGCCAUCCAAUAUAUAAACAAAUCUGGUACUCCUGUCAGGAAAGAGGUAGGUAAUUCCCAACAGCCAAUAGUGUCUGCCACAAGUGAAAUAUCUCAUCAGAGAAAACUGAGUAGGUAAUACAUGAUUCUGUGUUUUCUCUGUUUUCUGCCUUUGCUUUUUCCAUUUGGUAAGACUCACCUGUGUUCCUCUUUGUGGCUCUUUCUCCUUGAUAAUACAACCCUGGUUUAGUUCAGAUACAGGUGGCAAUAGGCCAGAAUUUGUCCUAGGAGACAAAUUCGUGAUGAGCCUCGCAAAGUCAUGACAAUCCCAAUUCCAUUUGCCAGUGAACCAUUUAGGGAUGGCCACGUGACUCAGUUCUGGUCACCAAGGUGGUGGAAGAGAAGUUCUCUUGAGGGGCAUCUGGGAAAGAUUCUUCUGCCUGAUAAAACAGGAGGUAAGCAAGGGUUCUGCUCCCCCAUUUGUUUCUGCCUUUGAACGUGGCUGUGGGAAGACAUGAUGCUUAGUGUUGCUGCAGCUAUCUCAUGACCUUGGGCAAAACAUCCCAACACACAGGAGGGCCAAACAAGCAGUCAGAAGAAGCCUGAGUCUUGUGGGUGUUGUUGAGCAGCUGAACAAACCCUAGGAUGGCUUCCUUCCAGACUUCUUAGGAUUGCGAACAAUGAAGCUCUAUUGUUUAAGCAAGGUAUCGAUGGCUAUUUUCACUUGCCACUGAAAGCACCAGGACAGAGAAUCGUCUUUCUAGGAAUACAGCCACAAAAGCCUUCAUUAUGGUAUAUGCACAUAAAGAAUAUAAAAGUUUCCUUUAUGUUUCUCUUUAAAAUAUAGCUGAAGUCUGCCUCAGGCAAAAAGACAAACAGAAAACAUAAAUGCAUACAUAAUUCAAGAACAAUAAAUAUUUAUUUUAAAAUGAAUAAAUGUUCUGCAGGAUAUUGUAAUAGUUUUCUCAGGGAAUAUAUUUUUCUAAUACUUAUAUCAACUAACAGUAUUUCUGUGGCAUCUCCAGGUCCUCUGUGUUUAAGUCCUCCCUAGAAACUGCAUUUCUCUCCUUUUUCCUGCUACUUUGGAUCUCAAAUGUGCCUAAAAAGAAAUACUUUUAACUUCUCUGGUUUUUCUUUUUUCAAAUAUUAACUUGUAACUUGCAGUUGUAACAUGGUUGUUGCUAGCUAGCUGUCAAGUAUUUGUCCAAAAAUGUGUUCCUAGAAUACCUUCAUCUUACAGUCACUCAAUCCAUAAUAGAGUUUAAACAUUUUUCCAUAAUAUUUCACAGAAUAUUCAUGUUUUUACAUAAAAAACACUUUUAAUAUAUGAACUAUCUGCAACACACAGCAAAAUCCCAGUUAUAUGACAUCAAUAGCCAUAUACUAAAAUACACCUAACAAUAUUCAUAUUAAACUCAAAUUUAAUAUAUGUUAAUAUGUAGGCAUAUUUACUUAUACAUAAAGCUGUAGAUUUCUCUCUAUCCUUCCCCCGUACUUCCCAGAGGUAACCAUUGUAUUGAUGAUGAUGUUGAUGACAGCAACAAUGAUGAUGAUAAUGAUGGUAAUAAAAACCGCAAAUUUGCUGUAUGCCAGGCAGUAUUCUAAGCACUUUACAUACAUUAACUCCUUAAAUGUCCACCGCAGACAUAUGACAUAGAUACUAUUAUUAUCCUUCAUUUUAUAGAUGAGAGGUUGAGAAAAAAAUUGGUUAAGCAGCUUGUCCAAGGCCACACAGCUGGUGUGCCAGGAUUCCAACACAGGCAAUCUGGCCCUGGAGCCCUUUGCCGUAUCCCAUUGCUAUAUGGAUAUUGCUGUGUAUCAUUAUAUACUUUCUCUAAACAUGUAUGCAACCAUAAAAAGCUAUACAUAGGAUUUCUCUCCUUUUUAAAAAGUAUAUAAUCUUAUAACAUUUAUGGGGUCUUUUUCCAGUUAUUUUGCUAUUAUGAAAAAUGUUGCAAUGAAUAGUCUUGAAUAUACAUCCUUGUGCAUUUACUCUCUGGUAAACAUCUAGAAGCCAAAUUUCUGCUUGGUAGAUUACUCAUAUUAACAUUUUUUUUUUAGUUAUUCCAAAAUUGCUCUUCAAAGUAAUUGUACCAAUUUGCAGUUCUGCCAGCACUGUAUAAGUUUUCCAUUUCUCGCUAACUCCAUCAAUUCUUUGUAUCAUUGAGUUCGCUGAUUUUUGCUAAUCUGACUGAUGUGAGGUGGUAUUUCAUUAUUCUCAUUUGCACUCUUCUUUGAUUGCUAGAGAGGUAAGAGCAUCUUUUCAUAUGCUUGUUAUCUAUUUAUGCUUAUUUUUUUCUUGGAUUUUCAUUUUGUCUGAUUUUAAACGAAUUCUAUGACAUUCUGCUGAAUAAAGUGAGUUACAUAGGUUGUAAACACCUUCCCAUGGUAGCUAUUGACCUUCUUUUUGUUGUCAUCUUGAUACAUGGAAGUAUUUAGUUUAAUGUAGUUACAUUCUCAAUACUUUCUUUUCUCAAUAUGGUUUAUGCUUUUAGCAUUAUAAGUAAUAUGGCAGUACUCAGAUGUCAUCAAGAUAUUCUUCUAUAUAUUCUUUUUAAAUUUAGCUUUUCACAUUUAGGCAACUUUGAGUAUGCUAUGAAGUAGUACCCAAUUUUACCGUCUUUCAUAUAAAUACUUGAAUCUAUCUUUUUCUAUAUGGUGAUGUCUCAGCAUCAUUUAAUGAAGACUCUCAUUCUUUGCCCAGUGAUUUGUGAUGUUAUCUCUGUCAUAUUCCACAUUUACAUAUCUAAGUGGUUUUAUUCGUACGCUCUCUAUUCCCUGUGGCAAUAUCACAUUGUUUAGUAUAGUUUUACAUGAUAAUGUAGUAUCAAUAUUCAAAAGGAUAACCACCCUGCUUUUUUCUUUUCCUCCUUCUCUGCCUCCUUCUCCUCCUUCUUCUUUGCAAUUGUCUAGCCUAUUCUUGAAUUUUUAUUCUUUCAUAUGCAUUUAAGAAUCAUCUUGUCAAGUUCUUCGAAAAACCCUACUGAAAUUUUUAUUGAAAUUGUAUUGAAUUUAUAUGUGAAUUUGGGAAAAAUUGUCUUUUUUUUUUUUUUGACGGAGUCUCGCUCUGUCACCCAGGCUGGAGUGCAGUGGUACAAUCUCAGCUCACGGCAAACUCGGCCUUCUAGAUUCACGCCAUUCUCCUGCCUCAGCCUCCCAAGUAGCUGGGACUACAGGCACCCACCACCUGGCCUGGCUAAUUUUUUUUGUAUUUUUAGUAGAGACGGGGUUUCACCAUGUUAGCCAGGAUGCUCUCGAUCUCCUGACGUCGUGAUCCGCCAGCCUCGGCCUCCCAAAGUGCUGGGAUUACAGGCGUGAGCCACAGCGCCCGGCCAAUUUCACAAAUAGAUUUUUUUUCUUACUGUAAAUCUUAGCAAGCUCAGCAUACGAAUUUUUUUUUCCUUAAAUUGAAAGCUUUUACCCUUUCACUUAAAGGCAGCACUUUAUGGCUUCUCUUGGGCAUAUCCAAAUUGCUACCAUCACUACUCGUAUUAGUCCAUUUUCACGCUGCUGAUAAAGACAUACCUGAGACUGAGAAAUUUACCAAAUAAAGAGGUGUACUGGACUUACAGUUCCACAUGGCUGGGGAGGCCUCACAAUCAUGGUGGAAGGCAAGAAGGAGCAAGUCAUGUCUUACAUGGAUGGCAGCUGGCAAAGAGAAAGCUUGUACAGGGAGACUCCCGUUUUGAAAACCAUCAGAUCUUGUGAGACUCAUUCACUAUUACAAGAACAGUGCAGGAAAGAUGCACCCCUGUACUUCAAUCACCUCCCAGCAGGUUCCUCCCACGACAUGUGGGAAUUGUGGGAGUUACAAUUCAAGAUGAGAUUUGGUUGGGGACACAGCCAAACCAUAUCACUACUCUUGUGCUUUGGGGCCAUUAUGAAGUAAAACAAGCAUUAUUUGAACACAAGAACUGCAAUACCACCACAGUAGAUCUGAUAACUGUUGGCUACUAAGUGACUAAGGGGCAGGUGAAGUAUACAGCUUGGAUGCGAUGGACAAAGAGGAAGAUCUACCUCCCAGCUGGGAUGGAGCAGGACGAUGCAAGAUUUCAUCACACUACUCAGAAAGGCAUGCAGUUUAAAGCUCGUAAAUUAUUUCAGGAAUUUUCCAUUUAAUAUUUUCAGGCUGUGGCUGACCGUGAGUAACAAACCCAGGAAAGCGAAACUGCAGAACAGUGGAUGGGAGAAAGGGUGAAUUACUGUAUAUUCAUGAGGGAUAUUAGUCCAUAGUUUCUUUUUUCCCUUUUAACAAAUUUUUGGGUUUUGUAUAUAGUUUGUCUGGUUUUGGUAUCAGGGUAAUACUAGCUUCAUAAAAUGAAUUGGAAAGCGUUUCUUCUGUUUUCCUAAAAAGAUUAUAUGGAAUUAGCAUUCAUUCUUUAAACACUUGGUAGAAAUCUUAAGUAAAACCAUCUGAGCUCGGAGAUUUUUUUGUGUGUGUUAUAAAAUUACAUAUUCAGUUUCCUUAAUAUUUAUAAGAUCAUUUUAAUUAUCUGUGUUUUUCAGUGAAACGGGUCAAUUUUCUGUAUGUUGUCAAAUUAAUAUUUGUAGAAUUGUAUUAGUAUUCUUCAUUAUCCUUUUGAUGUCUGCAGAAUCUGUAAUGGUAUCCCUGUUUUAUUUCUGAUAUUAAUUUGUGCCAUUAUGUCUUUUUUUCUUUGUUGAUCUUGUCAGAAGUUUGUCAAUUUUAUCAAUUUGUUCCAAGAACCAGCUCAUUGAUUUGGUUUCAGUUUCAUUGAUUUCUACUUUUAUCUUUAUUAUUUCCUUCUUUUUCUUGCUUUUGGUAUAUUUUGUGCUUCUUUUUCUAGGUUCUAGAGGUGGAAGCAUACGUUAUUGAUUUGAGACCUUUCCUCUUUUCUAAUGUGAGCAUUUUAGUUACAUUUAGUUCCCUCCUAGGACUACUUUAAUUGGAUUAUUGAGAGGUGUUGAAGUCUCCAACUGUAUUUGUGGAUUUAUUUAUUUUUCCUUUCAGUUCUAUUAGUUUUAGCUUCACAUUAUUUUGCAGCUCUGAUGUUUAAAGGUGCAUGAACAUUUAGGCUCACUAUGUCUCAGUGAAUUGACCCUUUUAUCAUUACGUAAUAUUCCUCUCAGUCUCUGGUCAUUUUCUUUGUGCUGAAAUAUACUUUAUCUGAUAAUAUAAUGACUGUUCCCUGUAGAUUAAUAUUUUCAGGAUGUAUCAUUUUUAUUUUUUUAUUUUCAACCUGCCUGUAAUCAUUAUAUUUGCAGUGAAUUUUUUCUAGACACUGUAUAGUUGAAUCAUUUAAAAAAGUCUGCUCUGGCAAUGUGUCUUUUAAUUGGUGUAUUUAGAUCAUUACAUUUAAUAUAUUUACUGAUAUGUUAGGGCAUAAUAAUUUUUUGUUUUCUGUUUGUGUCUCUGCUUAUUAUUUCUGUUUUCUUUUUCCUGCUUCCUUUGGGUUGUUUGGACAUUUCCUUUAGAAUUAUAUUUCAAUUUAUAUAUAGUUUUUUUUUUAAAAGAGUAUCUCUUCAUAUAGAUUUUUUUAGUGGUUAUAACCAGCUGAUGCUGCUGGUUCGAGAGCCCUUUGGCUGAGAAAGCAGAUAGCUCACCAGCCCGGCAGCCUGGGUCUCCAGGUAGUAUCAGGUCAGGCCAACGACACUGAGACAUUUGUCCACCCUGAGAGGACUCUGAGCACCUGUGGCUGAGGCCAAAGGACCACAGGGCUAAGGAUGGGGAGAGUCCAACUCCAGUCGAUAUGCAUACCUUGGCAAGCUUCUCACUACAGCCCACUGUUCAUGGAGAAGCUGGGCCUUGCAGAUCGACCAGAAACCCCCACGAUAUGCCACUUUCUGCCCCUAUGUCCUGCGUGUCCUGGGCAUUGGCCCUGUCUCCCUUGGCAAACACAGAACACUGUUCCAUCUCAGAGAUUGCUUCACCAGAGAAACAGAUGCAUUUAUGGUACUGUAAGUACUAUAGUAUAUGUGUUGCCAAUUACUGUAAAGUCGUAAGUAUUUAUAAUUCUGGUUCUGAUUUGAUGGGCACUUGAGGUAGCUGUGGGUGGGAGGGUAUGCUUAUUGUCUGAGGAGACUCACAACCAUUUCUCAGGUUUCCCUUGCAGAGUGUGUGCCGUUACCAGUGGGAUAGUGGGUGUGCCAAGGAGAAAAAUGGCCAGUUAGAAAAAAAUCCCAAGACUAGUCUAUGCAGAAUCUCUCGCCUACAGACAGGGCAUUAAUAGCCCAGUGGUGGGUGAGCGGCAGAGGCCAGGACUGGACUCAGACUUUUGCCUCACAAAGCUGUGAGGACUCUGAAGGUCCUGCCCCUGCCUCACACAGCCUCGCCAGGAGUCUGCUGAGCACCUUUGAAACAAGAGCAGGGAAAAGAUGAAGGUCUGGGAAGCCACUGAGCUCACAAUAUUCAUCUACACUGGUCACCUUUGUGUUAGAGAGUGUGUGUAUCUGUAUGACUGAGUACAUGUGUCUAUGUGCAUAGAUAUAUCUGCGCGUGCCUGUCUGUAUGUGCACAUUAUACGUUGAUGUGUACGUAUGUCAGUUCUAUGGCUGUGUACCUGGGUGGAUAUGUGCACACUGGAAUGUGGGUCCCUGUGUGAGGUUGUAACAUUUGCUUGCAUGUGAGGAUGCAUAUCUAUGUGUAAAUGCUCUCAUGUCUUGCAUGUUUAGUGUGUGUGUAUCUGGGCACACAUGAGUGCAUGUGUAGAGAUACGUGUCUGUGUGUAUGCUUGCUCUCCAUGCAUCUGUGUUUUUAUAUGUGUAACUGAGUAUAUUUCUACAUGUGGGGGUGACUGCGUGUUCUUCUUUGAGGAUCUGCAUGAAUGUGUCCUUUUUGCGAGAUUUCUCUUCCCAUUCAUCUUACAUCUCUCUCACUAGUUAAAUGUUCCCCAUCUCUGUGCCUCCUCUAUUCAUUCUCUCUCACCAAAUGAGCUUCUAAGCACCAGUCUCCCUCUGCCAUCAAGAUUGGCUGUUUUCACUGCACAGUUCUCUUCUCACCCCGUACUUGCUUUCUUCCCCUGCCUUUCUCUGCCUGCUUUUGUCACAGUCUCAUUGCUUGCUGACUUGGAGGCUAGGGCUGGUCUUCACUUAGCCUCUCCCUUCCUAAUUUCUAGCCCCAGUGGGCAACCCUGUCUUAGCCCUGGCUGACCUCCACAGUGAAUCAUCAUGUUCCUGCUACUUUCCUGACCCCUAUACUCAGCCUGGAAUUAUUGUAGGAGAUAGCAAGAGCAUUCAGAAGAGUCAGUUGGUUACCAGUGCCUUGGUGUUUACUCUUUUAUGUCUUAGUUCCUUAGCUGGGGGUGGGGUUUGAUAGGGAAGGGGUGGUAUAGCUAGAAUGCAAACUAAGAACUUCUCCAUCUGCUUUCCUUUUUCUUUCGUUGACAAAAUGUCACCUUUUCUACUCCAAACUGACCAAGAAGUUGUAUUUGCCGUUUGUGGCUACUCACGUCCUACUGCCCAGCCAAGGGACCCUAUAACAUCUCAGUCCAAUGAGUUGGUUGAAAAGAAGAGAGGGAGAGAGGUCACUCUCAUUUUCGUAUCACAAUUGCCCUUCUUUUUAGCAAGUGUAUGAACUCACAGUGCUUUUCUAUGAAUAAACCAUGGAUCACAUGAAAAAUCAUUUUUCUUAAAGAAAAAAAAUUCCCUAAACCCAGAGGGGACCAGCAAAUACUUAACAGGAGAUUAGAGAUUUCCUGUGAGUGCAUAUGGUGCGGGGUGACCUGAUUCUGUGAAGCAAAUGUUAUUGUCCUCCUUAAAUUCAUGUGUUGAAUUCUAAUUCUAUGUGAUGGUAUUUGGAGGUGGGGCCUUGGCAGGUGAUUCAGUUCAUGAAGGCAGGGACCUCAUGAAUGGAAUUGGUGCCCCUUCAAAGGGACUGCAGAGAGCUCCCUCAUCCCUUCUGUCAUGUAAAGACACAGUAAAAAAGGUGGCUGUCUAUGAACCAGGAAGUCAGCCCCACGGAAUCCGCUGACAAUUUGACCUUGGAUUUUACCAUCUCCAGAACUGUGAGAAAUCAAUUUUCUACGCUACCUAGUCUAUGGCAUUCUGUUUUGACACCCAGAUUAGCUAAAGUAGCAGCAUAUCAACUUGCACACAUAAUUCUUGGAAACUCUGAUGCCAAAUCCUUGAUGGCAAAAGGUGAAUGAUCUGCCGGAGACAUGAGCCUACAUCAUCCCUCUUUCCACAGUAAACCAGAGAGUCAAAACAGGCAAGAGUAGGUCAAGGUCUUCUAAAAGCCAUACCUGAAAGGUUUCCAAUAACAGAUGACUCGAUGGUAAUUCAGCCACACAAACAACCACAACAAAAGACACAACUAUCAGAGAUUUUCAGGAUAGCCUCAAAAACACCAUCUAACAUUAGGGAGUUCAAAAAGGCAUGAAGUUUCAGAAAUCAAACUUUAUUGUAAUCUCGUUUCAUCAACUUGUAAUUCUAACACUAUUAAUAAAUGGUAGGGCAGGUGGUGGCAUGGAGAGCCUGGGGCACAACGGCUGUCGUUAAAAGCUUUGUUUGCUUUACCCUUUGGAGCCACCUCCUGGUCCCCUCACCCACUGCCCGCCUGUUAAGGGCCUGUCCCGGGCAGCACAUUAGGGGCAAACAGCCUGGAUGCCCAGCUGUGGACCCGCAUCCAUGCCUGGAGGAGGAGGUUGCCUCUGGGAGCAGGCGUAGCUGCUGGAACUCUUCCUCCCAGCCUUCUUUUAAUGCUCUCCGGCACCUCCUGCACACAGAUAAACCAAGAUCAGGAGAAUAAACGGACCUGCAGCAGCAGGACUGUGGUUCUAGUGAAUGAGAGAAGCCUCUCUGCAGCGAGGUACAGGAGGCCAGGCCAAAUGCCCUGCUCUCUGCCUGCAUGUUUGCCACCGUGCCCAGGACUAGGGGCAGCAUGGGAGCUGCUGGCUGGGGCUGUGCUGGUCACCCCCUCCCUCCCACUUUUCUCUCCAGCCACGCUUUCAGUUCCAGGGUUAGGGCCAGUGGCUACAGUACGUGCCGUGAUUUCAGGCAGCUCCUCAUUGGUCUGGUCCUUGGCUGGAGCUCCCUCCAGCUCCAGUGCUCUCUCUGGAGGGGCCUCUUCCCAUGCUGGCUCUGGCUCCGCCGCUGGUGCUGGCAGUGCUCUUACUUCUGCACAUGGACCAGGAGCUGAGAAAGGAGAAAGGGUCACCAGCAUCAGUCACUUUCCACUGGAAUUUCCAAACACAGAAACGACCUCACUGAAUUUAAGGGAAUUCCAGCCCAAAAGCACCGCCCCUGCAAAGUCUUCCAGGCUGCAGGCCACCUCACCACGUGUCUGUGCCUCAAUGAGCUCCUGAAUCUCCUGGACAAGGACAGUGUGCAGCUGCAGCCCCAAUGGGAUCUCUGGUGUGGCCUGGCCUGCUAGGGCCUGCCCCAGGCUGUCCUGUGGUACCUGGAUGCGCCUUAUUACAACGGGCGACAGGCGUCUGGGGUGAGGGAUGAGCCUUCUUCGGCAUCGUCAGAAAAGGCUCUCACUCCCUCCGUUCCUGAAGCAGCAACCUCUCAAAGUGGAGAAGCAACACGAGAACAUCUUGCUCUCUUGAGCGUCUCCCACCAAGUGAGCUGUUUACGGCGCUGACUCUAGGAUAUGGGUGCCUGGUUACCAGAGUUCUAAGUUCUGUUCGUGUGGUCAUCAUCCAGGAAGUGACGUCGCUUCUUUACGGUUCUGUUCCCUAGACCCCUUCCUUCCAUAAGACCUACUCCAGGACUCCACUGGGCUGCUGACUACUCACCCUCCCCCCACGUCAACUCCUUACCUGUACACUGUUAUGUCCACCCAAGGUCUGCUUGGACACCUGUGCCUGAUGUUCACCAGGGGCCGGAUGUCCUCAGGCCUGAUGUCCACCUAGGGCCUGAUGUCUGCGUUGGGCCUAUGUCCCUCUGGGGGCCUUGUGUUCACCUGGGGACUGUAUCCAACUGAGGCCUGAUGGCCUACUGGGUCUUGUUGUUCACCUAAGGCCUUGUGUCCACCUGGGGCCUGGGUGUCCACCUGAGGCCGGAUGUGCACCUAAGGCCUGAGUUUUCACCUGGGCCUGAUGAUCACCUGGGGACUUGGGUCUAAUGUCUACCUGGAGCCUUGGGUCUAAUGUCUACCUGGAGCCUUGGGUCUAAUGUCCACCCGGAGCCUACGUAUCUACCUAAGGCAUGAUGUCUACCUGCGGCCUGAUGUCCUCAUGAGUCUGGUGUUCAACAUGGGCCUGCUGUCCACCUAGGGCCUUGGUGUCCAUCUGGGGCCUGGUUGUCAACUUGGGGCCUGGUAUACACUUUGAGUCCAGGGUCCACCUGGGGACUGACGUCUGCCUGGAGGACUGACGUCCUCCUGAGUGAGGUGGGAGGAUCUCUGGAGCUCAAGAGGUUGAGACCACAGUGAGCUGUGAUUGUGCCACUGCCCUCCAGUCUGGGUGACAGAGUGAGACCCUGUCUCAAACAAAUAAACAAAAAAGCCACACAAAUUAUAUAGCUAUACAAAAAUAUUUUGUUUCUUUUUAACCUUAUUCUAUGAGCUUUUUUCAUUAUUUAUUUAUUUUACUUUUAAACCGUUUGUUGUUAAAAAACAAGACACAACCAGACACUUUCGCCUAAGGCUAAGCAGGGUCAGGAUCAUCAAUUUCACUGUCCUCUACCUCCACAUCUUGUCCCACCGGAAGGUCUUCAGGGGCAGUAACAGGCAUGGAGCUGUCAUCUCCUUGAUAAGAAUGCCUUCUUCUGGAAACCUCCUGAAGAAACUGCCUGAGGCUGCUUCACAGUUACCUUAAAAAAAAGUAGUAAGCAUAUACUCUAAAAUAACAAUAAAAAAUAUAGGAUAUUAAAUACAUAAAACAAUAACAUCAGCAUCUAUUAUUUUCAUCAAGCAUUAUGCACUGUCGAUAAUCGUAUGUUCACACCCACAUCACCACAAACAUGUAAGCUCUGUGGUGUCCAAUGAAUCUGCCUUUCUUUACCUACAACUGUCUUGGUAAAUUCUUUUACCACCCAUCCCACUGUCCCAGAGAGUCGCUGCUCCCCUACGACACUGAGUAAGGAGGAGAUACAGCUGACACCACCCGGAAAUAUUCCCUGAGGCCAAGCUCAGGCCACAGAUUAUGGUGAAGCCUCCAACUUCCACACUGUAAGCCACCAGGGGCCUGGUGACCCCUGUGACGAGGCCACAGGGAGCAUCUAUGGAUCAGGCACCUACAGAGGCCCCAGGGUAUACCCCAGCACACUGGAGGCCCCUCCCCACACCCACAACCCCAGGCAUGUAUACAGGAUCCACACUCCUGCCCACAAACACCAGGUAAUGCAUGAGGGGAAGGGAGGCUGCCUUGAGACUAAGCACUGCCUCACUACCUAAAAGCACUCUGUCAUCAUGAGGGUGAACCAGAGAUUGCCUGGACUGGCCGUUUA
rnacentral:lncRNA from 1 species